GACAGAGGGUGCAAACGUUGUUCGGAAUUACUGGGCGUAAAGCGCGUGUAGGCUGCUUCGCAAGUCGGAUGUGAAAGCCCUGGGCUCAACCCAGGAAGUGCAUUCGAAACUGCAGAGCUGGAGUCCUGGAGAGGAAGGCGGAAUUCUCGGUGUAGAGGUGAAAUUCGUAGAUAUCGAGAGGAACACCGGUGGCGAAGGCGGCCUUCUGGACAGUGACUGACGCUG
rnacentral:rRNA from 1 species